rnacentral:rRNA from 1 species
CAAUAGCGUAUAUUUAAGUUGUUGCAGUUAAAAAGCUCGUAGUUGGAUUUCGGGUGGGACGCAGCGGUCUCGCAUUGCGUUUGUACUGCUGCAGCCCUCCUUCUUGCCGGGGGCGGCCUCUCGGACUUCACUGUCUGGGGGUCAGAAUCGGCGAUGUUACUUUGAGUAAAUUAGAGUGUUCAAAGCAAGCUUACGCUCUGAAUAUAAUAGCAUGGGAUAACACGACAGGACUCUGGCCUAUCGUGUUGGUCUAUAGGACCAGAGUAAUGAUUAAGAGGGACAGUCGGGGGCAUUCGUAUUCCGUUGUCAGAGGUGAAAUUCUUGGAUUUACGGAAGACGAACAUCUGCGAAAGCAUUUGCCAAGGAUGUCUCCAUUAA